UUCGCAAUGCCCGAAAGGGUGACGAAGCGACGCCGCGUGUGGGAAGAAGGCCUUCGGGUUGUAAACCACUGUCGGGAGUUAAGAAAUGUAAGGAUGUUAAUAGCGUCCUUACUUGACUAAGGCUCCAGAGGAAGCCACGGCUAACUCUGUGCCAGCAGCCGCGGUAAUACAGAGGCGGCAAGCGUUGUUCGGAAUUAUUGGGCGUAAAGAGCACGUAGGCGGCCCUGAAAGUCAGUUGUGAAAGCCUUCUGCUUAACGGAAGAACAGCAGCUGAUACUGCAAGGCUAGAGUGCGGAAGGGGAGAGUGGAACUUCUGGUGGAGCGGUGAAGUGCGUAGAUAUCAGAAGGAACACCGGCGGCGAAGGCGACUCUCUGGUCCGUAACUGACGCUGAGUGUGCGAAAGCUAGGGGAGCAAACGGGAUUAGAUACCCCGGUAGUCCUAGCCGUAAACGAUGGGCACUAAGUAGAGGGGUUUU
rnacentral:rRNA from 1 species